rnacentral:rRNA from 1 species
UACGUAGGUGGCAAGCGUUAUCCGGAUUUAUUGGGCGUAAAGGGAACGCAGGCGGUCUUUUAAGUCUGAUGUGAAAGCCUUCGUCUUAACCGGAGUAGUGCAUUGGAAACUGGGAGACUUGAGUGCAGAAGAGGAGAGUGGAACUCCAUGUGUAGCGGUGAAAUGCGUAGAUAUAUGGAAGAACACCAGUGGCGAAAGCGGCUCUCUGGUCUGUAACUGACGCUGAGGUUCGAAAGCGUGGGUAGCAAACAGG